UAUUUCCUGGAAUGCACGAUAACUUCUGUUUUUUUGAACCUACAUUUUUGAACAGGGACUCUUAUAUCUUUAGUCGGAUGUGAAGCCUCCUUUGAGUGGACCACAGAAGCCUGAAUGCGGAAACCCACCUAGCUUUGCUAGGAAUCAAAACUGCAGGAGCCGACAUUUUGGGGUAUAU
rnacentral:other from 1 species